rnacentral:lncRNA from 1 species
AGCAGCUACAGGAGCGACUCUGGAAUGUGUUGUGAAAGCAGUGGAGAGAAGGGAAUACAUCCAUAAAAAAACAGACAGUUUGGGUGCAGAGAAGUGCCAGUCUUCAAUGGAGGCGUACAGCCUGCUCUUCUGCUCUGCCUGCAGGGGUGGCUGUGCACAGAGCCAUCCAAUUUGGAAGCAAAGGAAAGCUACAUCCAAAAAUUAGUACAAUCUUGAAAUGUGCUUCUGGUCAAAGGUUUAGCACCAAUCACGUUCUAAAUCCAAUAUCAAAUUAUAAAGGGGGAGAGAAAGGAACACAAGGGCCAACAUGGAGGUAAGCUCAAUUCAAUAUGAGAUCCCUGUUUCAUAAACAACCUCAUCUGGAAUUGAUUCAAACCCCAGCUACUGGCCUGAAGUAGCCUUGGGUAAUAAUGAAUACAGACACACAACCAACAGGGUGGAAAGUUUGCUGGCCCAGGGAAAAUAAAUCUGGGUUCUCAUCCUGAAUAUUUAUUAAAUGGAAUAAUGAUUAGCAUCAACGCGACCAAUGACACAACACUUC